rnacentral:rRNA from 1 species
GUUGUAUGGUUAAGUGACUAAGCGUACAUGGUGGAUGCCUUGGCAGUCAGAGGCGAUGAAGGACGUACUAACCUGCGAUAAGCUGUGAGAAGUCGGUAAGAGACGCUAUUACUCACAGAUUUCCGAAUGGGGAAACCCACCCGAGAUAACUCGGGUAUCUGUUACUGAAUACAUAGGUAACAGAGGCGAACCGGGAGAACUGAAACAUCUAAGUACCCCGAGGAAAAGAAAUCAACCGAGAUUCCCUCAGUAGCGGCGAGCGAACGGGGAUUAGCCCUUAAGCAUCUUGGAAGUUAGUGGAACGGUCCUGGAAAGGCCGGCGAUACAGGGUGAUAGCCCCGUACACGAAAACAACCUUGAUGUGAAAUCGAGUAGGGCGGGACACGUGACAUCCUGUCUGAAUAUGGGGGGACCAUCCUCCAAGGCUAAAUACUCCUGACUGACCGAUAGUGAACCAGUACCGUGAGGGAAAGGCGAAAAGAACCCCUGUGAGGGGAGUGAAAUAGAACCUGAAACCGUGUACGUACAAGCAGUGGGAGCCCUUCGGGGUGACUGCGUACCUUUUGUAUAAUGGGUCAGCGACUUACAUUUUGUAGCGAGGUUAACCGUAUAGGGGAGCCGUAGGGAAACCGAGUCUUAACUGGGCGUCUAGUUGCAAGGUGUAGACCCGAAACCGGGUGAUCUAGCCAUGGGCAGGUUGAAGGUUGAGUAACAUCAACUGGAGGACCGAACCCACUAACGUUGCAAAGUUAGGGGAUGACCUGUGGCUGGGGGUGAAAGGCCAAUCAAACUCGGAGAUAGCUGGUUCUCCCCGAAAGCUAUUUAGGUAGCGCCUCGGACGAAUACUACUGGGGGUAGAGCACUGUUUGGGCUAGGGGGUCAUCCCGACUUACCAACCCCAUGCAAACUCCGAAUACCAGUAAGUAAUAUCCGGGAGACACACGGCGGGUGCUAACGUCCGUCGUGAAGAGGGAAACAACCCAGACCGCCGGCUAAGGUCCCAAAGUUCUGGUUAAGUGGGAAACGAUGUGGGAAGGCUCAGACAGCUAGGAUGUUGGCUUAGAAGCAGCCAUCAUUUAAAGAAAGCGUAAUAGCUCACUAGUCGAGUCGGCCUGCGCGGAAGAUGUAACGGGGCUCAAACCAGGCACCGAAGCCGCGGAUUCACACUUAUGUGUGAGUGGUAGGGGAGCGUUCUGUAAGUCUGCGAAGGUGUAUCGAGAGGUAUGCUGGAGAUAUCAGAAGUGCGAAUGCUGACGUAAGUAACGAUAAAGGGGGUGAAAAGCCUCCUCGCCGGAAGACCAAGGGUUCCUGUCCAACGUUAAUCGGGGCAGGGUGAGUCGACCCCUAAGGCGAGGCCGAAAGGCGUAGUCGAUGGGAAGCAGGUUAAUAUUCCUGCACGACUUGUAAUUGCGAUGGGGGGACGGAGAAGGCUAGGUGGGCCAGGCGACGGUUGUCCUGGUGAAAGUGCGUAGGUGGUGUUUGUAGGCAAAUCCGCAGACACAACACUGAGACACGAGACGAACACACUACGGUGUGGAAGCCAUUGAUGCCCUGCUUCCAGGAAAAGCCUCUAAGCUUCAGAUUACAAGUCAUCGUACCCCAAACCGACACAGGUGGUCGGGUAGAGAAUACCAAGGCGCUUGAGAGAACUCGGGUGAAGGAACUAGGCAAAAUAGAACCGUAACUUCGGGAGAAGGUUCGCUCUUGAUGGUGAAGUCCCUUGCGGAUGGAGCUGUCGGGAGUCGCAGUGACCAGAUGGCUGGGACUGUUUAUCAAAAACACAGCACUCUGCAAACACGAAAGUGGACGUAUAGGGUGUGACACCUGCCCGGUGCCGGAAGGUUAAUUGAUGGGGUUAGCGCAAGCGAAGCUCUUGAUCGAAGCCCCGGUAAACGGCGGCCGUAACUAUAACGGUCCUAAGGUAGCGAAAUUCCUUGUCGGGUAAGUUCCGACCUGCACGAAUGGUGUAACCAUGGCCAUGCUGUCUCCACCCGAGACUCAGUGAAAUCGAAUUCGCCGUGAAGAUGCGGUGUACCCGCGGCUAGACGGAAAGACCCCGUGAACCUUUACUACAGCUUGGCACUGAACAUUGAACCUACAUGUGUAGGAUAGGUGGGAGGCUUUGAAGGCGUGACGCCAGUUGCGCUGGAGCCGUCCUUGAAAUACCACCCUUGUAUGUUUGAUGUUCUAACGCAGGGCCCUGAAUCGGGCUCGCGGACAGUGCCUGGUGGGUAGUUUGACUGGGGCGGUCUCCUCCCAAAGAGUAACGGAGGAGCACGAAGGUUGGCUAAUCCUGGUCGGACAUCAGGAGGUUAGUGCAAUGGCAUAAGCCAGCUUAACUGCGAGACGGACAGGUCGAGCAGGUACGAAAGUAGGUCAUAGUGAUCCGGUGGUUCUGAAUGGAAGGGCCAUCGCUCAACGGAUAAAAGGUACUCCGGGGAUAACAGGCUGAUACCGCCCAAGAGUUCAUAUCGACGGCGGUGUUUGGCACCUCGAUGUCGGCUCAUCACAUCCUGGGGCUGAAGUCGGUCCCAAGGGUAUGGCUGUUCGCCAUUUAAAGUGGUACGCGAGCUGGGUUCAGAACGUCGUGAGACAGUUCGGUCCCUAUCUGCCGUGGGCGUUGGAUGAUUGAAGGGAGUUGCUCCUAGUACGAGAGGACCGGAGUGAACGAACCUCUGGUGUUCGGGUUGUCACGCCAGUGGCACUGCCCGGUAGCUAAGUUCGGAAUCGAUAACCGCUGAAAGCAUCUAAGCGGGAAGCGAGCCCUGAGAUGAGUCAUCCCUGACCCCUUGAGGGUCCUAAAGGGCCGUUGGAGACCACAACGUUGAUAGGCGGGGUGUGUAAGUGCAGCGAUGCAUUGAGCUAACCCGUACUAAUUACCCGUGAGGCUUAACCAUACAACACCCAAGAAGUGUUCUG